AAAAGAUGAAAAAAAAAAUAAUCCCAAAUUCCAAGAACUCCUCACACAGUGUCUGUCAAUGGGGUUUUUGGAAUAAAAAAAUGAAAAAUCACUCCAAUCAUGUGCUCUCAAGCAUGGAGUUAAGUUGAAGAAUCUAGACAAUGAAGAGCAUGUUCACUGUUUUCUCUUCAUUAUUAUAUAUUUACACCAUAAAAAAUUACUACACUGAGCUCAAAAAAAACCAGAAGAGAGUAAAAACCAGCUAAA
rnacentral:misc_RNA from 1 species